GAGUGAAGAGGGAAGAGCUCAUCAUUGGAAUCUGGCAGCGUUGCGCUGUCCGAGUUGUAGAUGAGAAGAGUAGGCCAUCUGGACUGCGUGGUGUCCAAGUACAAUAGGCCGUCAGUGGGACAUCAUAGAGGGUGACAAUCCCGUCCUUGACACCAACGUACGAGUCCAUUACGAUGCCUAUCUCAGAGAGUCGAGCAGUUUGGGAUUUGCUGCUUAAACAUGGGAGGUAGAUUCCUUCUAAAGCUAAAUACAGGCAAGAGACCGAUAGAGAACAAGUACCGCAAGGGAAAGAUGAAAUAGAACUCUGUGAAGGGAGUCAAAAAGACGUGAAAUUGUUGCGAGAGAAGCGAUUCAAGUCAGCGUAGCUAGGCCCAUCAAGCCUUGCUUUGGACUAGCUUUGCCAGCGGUCUUGUCCUUUAGAGAGACUUGACUUUUGACAUGCCCUGCCCGGUCUAACGGGCAGACCUCCCUCUGGGAGGCCAGUGGCAUGGCUGGUGGAAUGGCUUGCAAUCGACCCGUCUUGAAACACGGACCAAGGAGUCUAACAUGUGUGCGAAUAUAAGGGUGGCAAACCCGUAUGCGCAAAGAAAGUGAUAGCCUUUUAUGGCUGAGAAUGGCCUGAUGACCAGACAAGCAAUAUUAUGUUCCUCGUACGGUCAUUGCCCAAGUCCCGUGGUCAGAUCCCAUGGACAUGGAGUUAGAGCAUACAUGCUAGGACCCGAAAGAUGGUGAACUAUGCCUGGACAAAGCGAAGCCAAAGGAAACUCUGGUGGAGGCUUGUAGCGAUUCUGACGUGCAAAUCGAUCGUCUGAUCUGGGUAUAGGGGCGAAAGACUAAUC
rnacentral:rRNA from 1 species